GUGCCUUCUCCAGGGGCGUGCCUUGCCGUGACUGUGAGAACUGUCUGUCCUGUUCUUUCUAUGUGGAAAUGUCCCUGUUGACUGUCACCCCGGCAUCGGUACCAAGUUGCUGUUCCAGUGCAUGAAGGCCCUUAUCUGCAGGAAGAAGCAACGUCCAGGAAGCAGUGUUCAGAGACCUGUCUGGCACACAAGCAGGCAUCUUUAAAAGGGGGAACCUCUUUCUGCCAGAGCGAUCCCUGCGGAAAGUGGCUUUCAGUAGAGCUAAAAGGAACACACCCUGGGGCAGCUCUGCUUUGAACGUUGCUGUCCAUUUAAUAAACAGCCCUUCUCUUCUGACCAGCACCUUCGCCUUCCAACACCAGGAACAGCAAGCAGCAGGACUGAGUAUAAACACUUGGAAGACAAAGAAAAGAAAAAAAGAAUGGAAGCAGCCAGAGAGAUUUUUCAGAGGUCACCUCAGCUGGCUGAGGAAGCCAACCUGAUGUUAGCAGGAGAGUGAGAAGGAAGGAAUAAAGAAAACCUUUGAAGCUUCCAGGAAAGUCAAUCCAGUCCCUGACAUAUCUGCUCCGAUAUUAGAGUCUGAGUUGCUGGAGUUACCUGUCUGGUAUCUUUUAUGAGCACUGCUUGUACACAAAAUAGUCUUCUGUGUUCCCUUUUAAUGAAUGCAUUUUGGAAUGUAAAUGUCUUUUCUAAUUGUUUAAAAUUUAUUAACAAUUUUACAGAAAAAGGUGCAUAUAAAACAACUUGGUAGAGCUUUUGGAUCCUCAGUUCUUAUUAGUGCACUACA